rnacentral:rRNA from 1 species
AGCGCAGGCGGUUUGUCAAGUCAGAUGUGAAAGCCCACGGCUCAACCGUGGAAGUGCAUUUGAAACUGGCAGACUUGAGUAUCAGAGGGGAAAGUGGAAUUCCCGGUGUAGAGGUGAAAUUCGUAGAUAUCGGGAGGAAUACCGGUGGCGAAGGCGACUUUCUGGCUGAAUACUGACGCUGAGGCUCGAAAGCGUGGGGAGCAAACA